rnacentral:rRNA from 1 species
AGUGAACGCUGGCGGUAGGCCUAACACAUGCAAGUCGAACGGCAGCACAGGAGAGCUUGCUCUCUGGGUGGCGAGUGGCGGACGGGUGAGGAAUACAUCGGAAUCUACUCUGUCGUGGGGGAUAACGUAGGGAAACUUACGCCAAUACCGCAUACGACCUACGGGUGAAAGCAGGGGACCUUCGGGCCUUGCGCGAUUGAAUGAGCCGAUGUCGGAUUAGCUAGUUGGCGGGGUAAAGGCCCACCAAGGCGACGAUCCGCAGCUGGUCUGAGAGGAUGAUCAGCCACACCGGAACUGAGACACGGUCCAGACUCCUACGGGAGGCAGCAGUGGGGAAUAUUGGACAAUGGGCGCAAGCCUGAUCCAGCCAUACCGCGUGGGUGAAGAAGGCCUUCGGGUUGUAAAGCCCUUUUGUUGGGAAAGAAAUCCAGCUGGCUAAUACCCGGUUAGGAUGACGGUACCCAAAGAAUAAGCACCGGCUAACUUCGUGCCAGCAGCCGCCGCAG